AUUGAACGCUGGCGGCAGGCUUAACACAUGCAAGUCGAGCGGGGGAAGGUAGCUUGCUACUGGACCUAGCGGCGGACGGGUGAGUAAUGCUUAGGAAUCUGCCUAUUAGUGGGGGACAACAUCUCGAAAGGGAUGCUAAUACCGCAUACGUCCUACGGGAGAAAGCAGGGGAUCUUCGGACCUUGCGCUAAUAGAUGAGCCUAAGUCGGAUUAGCUAGUUGGUGGGGUAAAGGCCUACCAAGGCGACGAUCUGUAGCGGGUCUGAGAGGAUGAUCCGCCACACUGGGACUGAGACACGGCCCAGACUCCUGCGGGAGGCAGCAGUGGGGAAUAUUGGACAAUGGGGGGAACCCUGAUCCAGCCAUGCCGCGUGUGUGAAGAAGGCCUUAUGGUUGUAAAGCACUUUAAGCGAGGAGGAGGCUACUUUAGUUAAUACCUAGAGAUAGUGGACGUUACUCGCAGGAUAAGCACCGGCUAACUCUGUGCCAGCCGCCGCCGUAA
rnacentral:rRNA from 1 species